AACAAACGCUGGCGGCGUGCCAACACAUGCAAGUCGUACGAGAAAGGGUCCUUCGGGGCCUGAGUAAAGUGGCGCACGGGCGAGUAACGCGUGGAUAAUCUGCCCUUCAGUUGGGAAUAACUCAUCGAAAGGUGGGCUAAUACCGAAUAAUGCUGUGAGACCUCGGUUGAUCAGCCAAAGAGAGCCUCUGCUUGCAAGCCCUCGCUGAAGGAUGAGUCCGCGUACCAUUAGCUAGUUGGUAGGGUAAUGGCCUACCAAGGCGACGAUGGUUAGCUGGUCUGGGAGGAUGAUCAGCCACACUGGAACUGAGACACGGUCCAGACUCCUACGGGAGGCAGCAGUGAGGAAUCUUGCGCAAUGGGGGCAACCCUGACGCAGCAACGCCGCGUGAGUGAGGAAGGUCUUCGGAUCGUAAAGCUCUGUCGGAUGGAAAGAACCGCAUAGGGGUAAACAGCCCCUGUGUCUGACGGUACCAUCAAAGGAAGCACCGGCUAACUCCGUGCCAGCAGCAGCCGCCGUAA
rnacentral:rRNA from 1 species